AGUUGCCAGUUUCAGUUGAAACUUGGCGUUCGUCAGCGUUCGUCGUGUUAACUUUAUUAUUUUACAUUAAAAAACUAUUAAUUACAUUUACUCAGUGCGUAAAUAAAAAAAAAAUUAAAAACUCCAAACGUCAAUAAUUUUGACAUUAGAAGACUAUUGAGGCAAUUACUGAGGAAAUAAAAAUUAACUUUUUCAUCAAAAAAAUAAAAUGUGUGGGGGUUUUACGUGCUCAAAAAAUGCUCUCACGGCAUUGAAUAUUUUGUACAUUGUAGUAGCAUUCAUACUAAUUGGAGUAGCAGUGUACGGCCGAGCAUCAGCAUUGGUAACAAACCUCCCAAUAAUCGGCGGAAUCCUAGCCUGUGGAGUAAUUUUAAUCCUUAUAUCAAUAUUGGGUCUGAUUGGAGCUGUCAAGCACCACCAAGUUCUUCUCUUCUUUUACAUGCUCAUUUUAUUCUUGCUGUUUUUGGUACAAUUCAGCAUCGCUUGCGCGUGUCUUGCCGUAAAUGCCAAACAACAAGAGCAAUUAGCAGAACAGGGAUGGAAACGAGUUGGAAUGGAACUGAAGAGCAAAGUACAGACUAAUUUCAAUUGCUGUGGAUUUAAUGGAACUGAUAUUAUCAAUAUUGACCCAAAAAUGGAUCAUCCUUCUUGUGAAGCUGUGACAAAAUUUUGCUGUUCUACUACCACAAAUUGGACGGACCAUCCACAAGAUUGUAAAUGCGAGCCUUGUAUGGAAAAACUUCAGUCAACAAUCGACCACGCGUUCAAACUCUGCGGGGGUAUUGGGCUAUUUUUCAGCUUCACAGAGUUUGUUGGUGUUUGGUUGACGGUCAGAUACAGGAAUCAAAAAGAUCCAAGAGCUAAUCCCAGUGCUUUUCUCUAGUCUAAUACCAUUACAAUGUCCCCUGUCACCUCGCACCAAAUAUUUAAUAGAUGGUAAUUGCAGCGUUUCUAGCUCGCCAUUAUCGCAAUCAACUGGACCCGCACGAAAAGGCUGCGAGAGCUGUAUUUCCCCGUCAUAAUUAUCUCUACUGAAUUAGUAAUAAAAUCAUCGCUUUAAACAUUUUUUUUAAUUACGUAAAUUUAAUAUCAAUUGGAGAUUAUUAUAAAUUAAUUAAUUACUCAUUUAAAAUAGUUUAGUGUGUGCUCUAGUCAGCCACCAAUACCUUCAACUUUUAUCAAAUUUAGUUUAUUAAUUAAUUAAUUAAUAAAUAAAUAAAUAAUAAAAGAUGAUAAGCCUCAAUGCGCCUUUAGUAGAUCGUAGAGGUCGGAUUAAUUAAUUAAACAGAUUAAAAUUAUUAUAUUGAAAAUAUGUAAUAUUUUACUACAUUUACUAUCGACUAAUUACUACUGUCUUCAAGAAUACUGCUUAAUUAUUUAUGUAGUAAAUAUAUAUAAUUAGGGCCAAGAUUUUUGCCUAAAU